GAUGAACGCUAGCGGCAGGCCUAACACAUGCAAGUCGAGGGGUAGGACAUUUCGGUGUCUGAGACCGGCGCACGGGUGCGUAACGCGUAUGCAAUCUGCCUUAUACUAAGGGAUAGCCCAGAGAAAUUUGGAUUAAUACCUUAUAGUAUAUAGAUGUGGCAUCACAUUUAUAUUAAAGAUUUAUCGGUAUAAGAUGAGCAUGCGUCCCAUUAGCUAGUUGGUAUGGUAACGGCAUACCAAGGCAAUGAUGGGUAGGGGUCCUGAGAGGGAGAUCCCCCACACUGGUACUGAGACACGGACCAGACUCCUACGGGAGGCAGCAGUGAGGAAUAUUGGUCAAUGGGCGCAAGCCUGAACCAGCCAUGCCGCGUGCAGGAUGACGGUCCUAUGGAUUGUAAAACUGCUUUUGGUACGGGAAGAAACAACUCUUCGUGAAGAGUCUUGACGGUACCGUAAGAAUAAGGAUCGGCUAACUCCGUGCCAGCAGCCGCGGUAAUACGGAGGAUCCAAGCGUUAUCCGGAAUCAUUGGGUUUAAAGGG
rnacentral:rRNA from 1 species